GUGAUGGCGAUAAUCUUUGAAACAUAACGAUAACUGAGUGUCGAUGGCUCACCUCACACGAUCCUCCUCAAAAUCAGUGAUGUUAAAUACAUCCUGCCAAUAAUAAAUAUUAGAAGAAUACUAUGCAAAUUAAAUAUUCAUAAUAUAAUUUAUUUUACCUCUAAGUGGGUGUAGAAAAUCUUUCUUUGAGCCGGUAGAAUGUGACG
rnacentral:lncRNA from 1 species